AACAGUUUCAUUUAGCUGAGGAUAUAAUAUUUCAUUUGUCUUUUCAUAGAUAUUGUGGUAUGAUGCAACAAAUUAUAGUACAUGGAUCUUUGUCUUGCUCUACGGAUUCUCCAUGGGAGUUGAAUUGACUACAAAUAAUGUGAUUGCUGAGUACUUCUUUGACAGAUUUGAUUUGAAGCUUCACACGGCUGGAAUCUUCGCUGCAAUGUUUGGUAAGGUAAACCUAUUAACGCAACCAUUUGGAGGAUGGAUAUCAGAUUUUGCAGCCAACAUUUUGGGAUGAGAGGCAGAUUAUGGAGCCUAUGGAUAUUACAAACAGUUGGAGUUUUCUGUUUACUUCUUGGAAGGGCUAACACACUUCCCGAUGGUGAUUGCUUGGAUGAUCAUAUUCUCUAUAGGUGCACAAGCAUCAUGUGGUGCAAAGUUUGGUAUUAUUAAAGUUGGUGCAGGGUGACUACAUUGCUCCUCAGAAAAUUGAGAAUUUUAUGCUUAAUGCAGAGUUGUUGCACAAUGCUAUGUCUAUGGUGAUAGGUUUAAUUCCUCAUUAGUAGCAGUUGUUUGUGUAAAGGCAGAUAUCUUGAAGGAACAGACAUUAUCUGAGAAAAUCAAGGGUUGGAAUUGCAACCUUCUUCAAGAUUGGGCUCUAGUCAACCUAUGGCUUAACCCAUAGGCAAUGUACAGAGUUAUGUCAGUGUUCCUAAACUGUAAUGCCCCGCAAUUCGGGCUACAAUAUAGACCAUAAUUUCGAUGCGUUGUUAAUUCUGAAACCAUAAAAUCCUAUGCCAAUACGGCAUGCUAAUUAUUGUAUGGUGUGUUAAUCCACUCAAGCUUGAAUUUAGACCAUAGAGGUCCUUCAACUCAAGGACGAGUUGAAACUAUUUCGAUCGACUAAGUUUUAGUGGACGUUGUAAAGUGUGUCAGAUUCCAUCGACCAUAACUCUCUAUAUAUGUCGAAUUAGGAAGCCUACUAUGUGUCAAAUGAUAGGUAUUCGAGUUAGCUUUCCAACGAUACCACACCCGAGCAAGAAGUUAUGGCCUUUCAAAGUGAUAAGCGUCGCCUAACCAAUCGCCCAUGGCCACUGGAAAGCAUAGUCAAUAGUCUAGGUGGCGCCUAUGUAAACAUAGGCGUCGCCUAUGUAAACAUAGGCGAUAGCCUAGGCGGCACCUAUGUGAACAUAGGCAAUGGGAUGGGCGUUACCUAUGUAAAGAAUUCUAGUAACUUAAACACUCCGUAUUGGGGACAAAGUGGUCCUUUUCCACCCUUACUUAGCCCUAAGACAUGAAAUUUAGUUCCAAGGACCCCAAAAUACAUAUUCAUUCAUCAAAAGUGCUCAAAGAUUCUUAGGGUUUCAAAAUAAAAACCCAAAUAGUUCAAGAUUUGACCGUAGGUUUUCAACGAUAAUUUCAUAUUUGGAAUCACCAAUCCGCAAGCUUCAAGAAACAUCUAUUAUCCUUGGAAAUAGAGGUACGUGGGGUUAUCCAAAAAUCUCAUGGGCGUAGUUUUUAUGAACAUGCAAGCUUUUAAAUGGGGGUUUUCAAUCAAAUGCUAAUAGCUUGCUUUCAAUAUGAUUUUUAAGUCAUCUUUCUUUAUAUCAUGGGAAUUGUUUGCCGAUAUACUUCAAUGGUUGAAACCAUGCAUAUGUGAUUUGAGAUUUUCCAUGGAAGUUUGAUAAAUAUGAAUGAUAAAUUGCCUUCAAAUUCCCAUGAUAAUGUCUUGAUACCCCAUAUUAUAUUGUGAUCAACAAAAGAGAGCAUGAAUUUGAAAUAAAUAUUGUUCACCACUUGUAAAUGAUGAAGCACCUUGGUUUUUAUAUGGUUAUGCAUAUAUGGAAGUGAUAUUGAGGACUUGCAAGUCGGGUAUGACGAUACCUUACAGAACAUGAUACGUGAUUGAAUAAGAUGAAAUUUGAAUGCAUUGAUUUUACAUGAGAAAGGUGGAUGCCCGAAGAAGGCGUUUGAGAUGUAAGGGCUCAUCGCUGGAAAACGUGGUACCAGGCUAAGUGAUCUUGUGUACUUGACUUCAUGUCAUUCCCAAAUUAGGACUGUAGGUAGGAGCCCAACUAAGUGAUCUUGGGCACUACCAUUGGGUCGAGACACCAUGCUAUGUGAUUUUGUGUGUCUCUCCCUCACUUACACUCUAAUCUCGGCGGCAACCGAGGUUAGACAGUUGGUGUAAAUUAUGUAGGGUAUUCCACCUAGCUUAGUCGCAUUUCAUUGUUGUUGAGAAACUAUUGCAUUACACCCAUGUUGUUUUAAAUGAUUUGAUACGAAAUUGCUUUAUAAUGGCUCUCAAAUAUAUAUUGUAAAAAUAUUAUGUUUUGUUUUGAUAUCUCUGUGUGCCAGUACUUUUGUGCUGACCCCCUCCCCUCUCCAACCUAAGGUUCAGAGACCCAGUCUAGGGGUCAAGAGAAUCAGUAGAUCAUUCAGACAGAAUUGCAGAGACAAGUGGUGAGCCUUCUAUGUUUCGGAAGGUCUUAUGUCCUGCAGUCCUUUUUUUCUUAUAUUCAGUUUUGGGGUCUACUGGGGGCCUUGUCCCAAUUUAUAUACGGUUACUUGACUCAGUCAUUUGUUAGAGAUUUUCGCAGACAGUUGUUUAAAGGUUAAUUGAUGUUGAGGGAACCUUAUCUCCCCGUUAUUGUUUCUUUUUCAUAUUUAUGACCAUGAUUCAGAAUUAUUGUGUUUUUCCUCAUUACUUUGAUCAUAUGAAUUAGGUUCAUGAUUACCAGACAGGGGUGUUUCGGGCCUCCAUGGUUCGAAAUUCUCGUCACGGCCAGGCCCUGGUUCGGGUUGUGACAUAAACGUUUGUUUCAUUUAAUACGCCAUCCAUUCCCUCCUAAUUAUAUGCACUCUUCACAUAAGUGGUUAUCCAAUCUUCUAAUGCUAUUAAUGUGGUACCUACGCAUGCAGAAAUUGAUAGUAGUAAAAUAACAGAUGGAGUAUAACAUGAAUCCGUGGAGCUUGAGAAGAGUAACAUCCUUUUAAUGGGGUCAACAAAUUCAGGUAAUCUUUAUAAUUUUCACUGCUCUUCUUGAGGUCUAAAAUGUGGUAAAGAAGCAUUUUAAAAUAACAUACCUUUGUAGUAUGGAACUUUAGAUUCUUCAACGGAGAAAUUCCCCUUCCCCUCUCACCUUUCUCCCGCUUUAUUUUUUUUUGUUUUGUUUAUAUUUUUUCAAAAGUUAUGGUGAGGUGCUAUUCACUUAUAGUGGUUAUAUGAUGCAUUCAUUAUCCGCUUCAUAAUAUCAAAUAACUCUAUACAUGUUCACUGAUAUGUAGAUAAUAUUUGACUUUGUAUUUAAAGUUCAAAGUCAUUUGGGCAUUUAAAUUCAUUUCAUGGUCUUGAAACUUCAGUUUCACCUGAUCUGAAGUUUGGGAAUUUGAAUUCAAGGACCCCAUGGUGGUGAGUGCGACUCAAAAACUCUUUCAAACUGCUGCUUUGUCGCAUGCUAAAAGAUUUUGAGGUAAAACUACGACAGAGAUGUAGGGAGGAGGGAGGCAAAAAUGUUACUCCCAAUUGACACACAAACCUGUCAACUCUUGUCCACACUCUCCAACUGGAACUUGAUUUGAUCCUUUACUUCUGAUCCUUUACUUUUGAUUCAGAUUUGAUCCCAACACUUUUGAUUCAGAUUUGAUCAUAUACACUCUUGUCUAAUGAUGGAGUCGUAUUUCAUGAUCUGAUGAAUUAUAUAUUUUCCUGCUGUUUUUUAUGGCCGGGAGUGUAAUAUAUGGCAACAACGAAGAGGGCAUGGUUAGGGUGAGAACAUUUAAAGUUGGAAAGAUCAGGGUCUUAGGAGUUGGACUUCUUGAACAUGAUGAUAACUGCACUCCAGUAUCCGGAGAUGUUCGAAACCACUGGGCAGGCUGCUCUCUCUUGCAGGUCUUGUUUGUGAAGGAACAUAAUGCCAUAUGUGCUAUGCUGAAAAUAGGUUAAUGAAGUACAGAAGAUUCUCUUUUCCAUGGUCAUAUUUGCUGAAUGGAAAUGAGAAGUUUAAUUGUGGAUGAAAUGAGCAUGUAUUCUGAAAUUUUACGGUUAGCCAGGCUACUUUUGCACCUAAAAGAACUUUUGCUUAAAAAUCUGAUUUUUUUCUCAGGAACAUUACCCUGAAUUUGAUGAUAAAAAGCUGUACCGGCAUGCAAGAUUGAUAACUUCAGCAGUCAUUGAUAAAAUCUACACGAUUGAUUUUUCGAUUGAAAUUGUUAAGACUGAUACUCUCAAAGCAGGAAUGAGGGUCAACUGGUAAGCCCACUGCUAUUAGUACUUGAUAAAAUCUAUGUCAUCGAACCUCUGUCUGAUCCCUAAAAAGUAAUGCACUUUUGGUUGAUCUGACACCUGCAUCAUUUUUUGGAGGAUACCAGCAAAGAUAGUGCAAAAAAUAUGGGGGAGGAUAAAGUACUUAAUGGAUAUUACCCCAAGCUAUCUGCUAUAACUGUUGUUGAACUAACAAAUAGCUCCCAGUUUUCAUUUUCCAAUGAGUUGUCAUGAUAAACCAAAAUGUUGUACAUCAUGCUUGUCUUGUCUCAGUUGAUUUCUUGAUUUCUUAAUCAACCAAAAUUCUACUUGAUUUCUUUGAA